rnacentral:rRNA from 1 species
GACGAACGCUGGCGGCGUGCCUAAUACAUGCAAGUCGAACGGUCUUUUCUAUGGAAGCUUGCUUCCACUGAGAAGAUAGUGGCGAACGGGUGAGUAACACGUGGGUAACCUGCCCAUAAGAGGGGGAUAACAUCCGGAAACGGGUGCUAAUACCGCAUAGUUUUCUUGAUCGCAUGAUUGAGAAAGGAAAGACGGCCUUUGUGCUGUCGCUUAUGGAUGGACCCGCGGCGUAUUAGUUAGUUGGUGAGGUAACGGCUCACCAAGACGAUGAUGCGUAGCCGACCUGAGAGGGUGAUCGGCGACAUUGGGACUGAGACACGGCCCAAACUCCUACGGGAGGCAGCAGUAGGGAAUCUUCCGCAAUGGACGAAAGUCUGACGGAGCAACGCCGCGUGAGUGAAGAAGGUUUUCGGAUCGUAAAGCUCUGUUGUCAGAGAAGAACAAGUUGGAGAGUAACUGCUCCAGCCUUGACGGUAUCUGACCAGAAAGCCACGGCUAACUACGUGCCAGCCGCCGCAGUAAAAC